CCUACGGGAGGCAGCAGUGAGGAAUAUUGGUCAAUGGGCGAGAGCCUGAACCAGCCAAGUCGCGUGAAGGAUGACGGUCCUAUGGGUUGUAAACCUCUUUAGGCGGGGAGCAAUGCGGGGCACGCGUGGGCGGAGGGAGAGUACCCGAAGAAAAAGCAUCGGCUAACUCCGUGCCAGCAGCCGCGGUAAUACGGAGGAUGCGAGCGUUAUCCGGAUUUAUUGGGUUUAAAGGGUGCGUAGGCGGAAUAUCAAGUCAGCGGUAAAAAUUCGGGGCUCAACCCCGUCGUGCCGUUGAAACUGAUGUUCUUGAGUGGGCGAGAAGUAUGCGGAAUGCGUGGUGUAGCGGUGAAAUGCAUAGAUAUCACGCAGAACUCCGAUUGCGAAGGCAGCAUACCGGCGCCCAACUGACGCUGAAGCACGAAAGCGUGGGUAUCGAACAGGAUUAGAUACCCUGGUAGUC
rnacentral:rRNA from 1 species